rnacentral:sRNA from 1 species
ACCCGCCCGCCAUAGCUCCUCGGGGGAGUCAGUGCCAGGCUGCAGCACACAUUGCCUUUUCAGGAACCCGAAUUUGGGGAGUUUACUCAUGUCUAAGUCCAGCUGGAGAAAACAAGGAUAUUAAGAUAACUAUUUUCUGGAGGGCUGAAGGAAAUUCAAAAUGAUUUAGACCUUCUCAAGUGUUAGGAAUAAUCCCUGCGGCAUGCACCCUGUGUACCCUUCGACUUUGAGCAAUCAUGAUGCUGCUGCACCUUUCAAUUAAUUGUGCAAACUAAAGUUUUCCUCUUUAAGUGGCAUUAUUUUGGCAUGAAUUUUAAAGACAAAGAUGAGAGAAUUUCUUGUUUGGAAGCCUACGUAACUUUCACAUCUAAGAGCUCAAGAUUUACUGAUGAAACAGAGAUUUUGAAGAUGUCACAAAGGCACUCAGGUCAAGCUGGCACUGAAGCAGGAAAUGGGGCGGACUCUCCUCCAAUUGUCAACUCCAAGUACUCCACCUUCAGAGAUUUUUGUUCCACGUCUUCAUUUCAAGAUAGUGGCUACAAUGAGUUAAAAUCUUGUAGCUUUGAUAAUAUAGAUAAAGAAUAUCUUGGAAAGAAAGAAAAAGGCCCAACAUUACUCUAUGAGCACCCUGAAACUUCAGGCCUGGGCUUAACACAUCCUUUAGAGUCUCCCACUCAAAAAAAGAAAUGUAUCUUGCCUAGAAAGGAAAAGGAUAAAACCCCAGAACUUUGUGAAACACCUAAAAUCAGUGGGAAAAAAUGUUUACCUCGCAGAAGGUUGAAUGUAUCUUUCGCUCUUCUAAAAGGGGACUUUGAAUCACAAAAUAGUUCUUUAGAAAGUAGUAUAAGCCAAGUUAUCAACUUAGAAAAAAAUAUUCCAAGCAGUGCUUCAGGUUUUCCCAGGGCAAAUAAUUUUAGCCCUUUAGUUACUAGCACUUUAAAAACAGAAGAAGUGACUUCAUGCAGUCAAAAAUUGAGGCUUAAUUUUUCUCAGCAAAAGACUUCCACAAUUGAUGAUUCCAAAGAUGAUUGUAGCCUAUUUGAAGUUGAAUGUAUAUCUCCAAUUCAGGGCAAUAAUUUUAAAGACUCUAUCACACAUGACUUUAGUGAUAGCAGUUUAUGCAUUAAUGAUGAGAAUGCAUGUCCAGAGCUCCUGGGCUCCUCUGUUAGUGGAACAACUUGUGGAACAGAUGAGGACAUAUUUGUGACUCCGAUAAGUAAUCUUGUGGCAAACAUUAGAUUUAACGCAAGUCAAAUACUUUCUCCUUCACCUGAAGUGAGAGGCAGUAUUUCAACGCCUGAAGACAGUGGUUUUAACUCACUUAGCUUGGAGAAAUCAGAAGAUUCCCUCUCUGACCAGGAGGGUUCUUUUCAAGAACUACUGCAGAAACAUAAGGGGACUCCCAAAGUUGGGGACACCAUAAGAAAGACAAGACAUCUUGGAAGGUCGAGAAGACUGUCCACCCUUCGGGAACAAAGCUCGCAGUCAGAGACAGAAGAGGAAAAGCAGAUUGUCCACCCUGACUCUGAAAAAAGAGCAGCAGCUGCUUCUGCCAUCUCAGAGGGUCAGCUGAGUAGUGAUGAGAGUGGGGAUUUGACCUUUAGCUUAAAGAAUUUAUCAAAGACCCCAGCCUUGCAAUUGGUACAUGAGCUGUUCAUGAAAAGCAAGAGGAAAAGAUUACAGGAAAAUAGUGGACAUGAAUUCUUAGAGCAAGGGGAUGGGGAGAAAAUAGCUGUACUGCAGUGUAUACUUGCGGGACUGAUUGGCAAGAAAAUGGGUAUAGAAAAACUGGACAUCUUAACAGAAUUAAAAUAUAGAAAUUUAAAGCAUAUUCUUGCUAUGGUUUUAGAGUCCUUGACCGCAGAGAGCCUAUGCAGUGUUUGGAAAGUAAGCAGAAAUUGGCGUGAAAUUGUUGUUCAAGAUAAAAAUGCAAAUCGGAGGAGGAAAUUUUAUAUCACACAACUGAAAACAGAUUCUGAGGUAAUGUAUGCAAUACUUCUCUAAAGUGGAUUUGUAUAAAUACAUAAUAAUCUCAUGUUGCUAGACAACCUAAUUUGGUUUUCCUGCUAUCUUUAACCUUUUCCAUUUAACAAACAUUCACUCAUAAAUUCUUUAGUUUUCCCAAACUCAAUUUUCACCCAGUCUGUAAAUGGAAUAAACAACAUAGCAUCAAGAACAUCUUGUUGGCCAGGCGCGGUGGCUCACGCCUGUAAUCCCAGCACUUUAGGAGGCCGAGGCGGGCGGAUCACGAGGUCAGGAGAUUGAGACCAUCCUGGCGAACACGGUGAAACCCUGCCUCUACUAAAAAAAUACAAAAAAUUAGCCGGGCGUGGUGGCGGGCGCCUGUAGUCCCAGCUACUCGGGAGGCUGAGGCAGGAGAAUGGCGUGAACCCAGAAGGUGGAGCUUGCAGUGUGAGCCGAAAUCGCGCCACUGCACUCCAGCCUGGGCGACAGAGCGAGACUCUCUCUCAAAAAAAAAAAAAAAAAAAAAAGAACAUCUUGUUGGGCUUUGUUGCUGCUUACGUGGGUGUGCUCUUAGCAUUUGAAUACCAAUGAUAUGCUGGAUCCUAAUUAUAAUGAGAUACCCUUAUAGCAUUUUUAACCCAGUCUUUUGAGUGGACAUUACGUGUUAGUUAACUGUGCCAGUGCUC